CUUGGUCCACCCGGUUCCUGGCAGGGAGCUGUGGGAGGCACUGGUCCCAACACCUCACCAUCACGGUGACCGGGUGACCUUCGAGAGAAGUGACCCACAUCCGAGGACACCGUUUUGCCCAGAUGUGGUGCAGGAUGACCUGAGAUGUGUCACUACCUGCCUGCGGGCGACGGCACAGAAAUGCUGGAAAGGCCUGGGUCUGUCCAUCCUCCGGGCUCCUCCACCUCAACCUAGCUGCCACCACCAGCCAACAAGCUUCCUGCCCCGUGAUACCUGCAGAGGUUGUGUUUCUAUCCUCAGCUGCUGGAAGCCUCCUGAUAGAAAUGCUGGGUUCUCAUAAAAACAAAAAACCAAAGAAAGUUGACCCUCUGUGCUCCAUGGCAACAAUGACUAGCUGCUAAUGGCAUCUGCCUCGGGUUCUCCCCAGGCCCCACCAUUCCCUCCUGCUCCGCACCU
ensembl:lncRNA